rnacentral:rRNA from 1 species
GACGAACGCUGGCGGCGUGCCUAAUACAUGCAAGUAGAACGCACAGUUUAUACCGUAGCUUGCUACACCAUAGACUGUGAGUUGCGAACGGGUGAGUAACGCGUAGGUAACCUGCCUGGUAGCGGGGGAUAACUAUUGGAAACGAUAGCUAAUACCGCAUAAUAUUGAUUAUUGCAUGAUAAUUGAUUGAAAGAUGCUAUUGCAUCACUACCAGAUGGACCUGCGUUGUAUUAGCUAGUAGGUGAGGUAACGGCUCACCUAGGCGACGAGACAUAGCCGACCUGGGAGGGUGAUCGGCCCCACUGGGACUGGGACACGGCCCAGACUCCUACGGGAGGCAGCAGUAGGGAAUCUUCGGCAAUGGACGAAAGUCUGACCGAGCAACGCCGCGUGAGUGAAGAAGGUUUUCGGAUCGUAAAGCUCUGUUGUAAGAGAAGAACGGGUGUGAGAGUGGAAAGUUCACACUGUGACGGUAUCUUACCAGAAAGGGCCGGCUAACUACGUG